rnacentral:tRNA from 2 species
CGGGACGUAGCGCAGCUCGGUAGCGCACUUGCUUCGGGAGCAAGGGGUCGCUGGUUCAAAUCCAGUCGUCCCGACCA